GGCGAACGGGUGAGUAACACGUGAGUAACCUGCCCCCUACUUUGGGAUAACCCUCGGAAACGGGGGCUAAUACCGGAUAUGACCUUGUGCCGCAUGGUGUGGGGUGGAAAGUUUUUCGGUGGGGGAUGGGCCCGCGGCCUAUCAGCUAGUUGGUGAGGUAACGGCUCACCAAGGCUAAGACGGGUAGCUGGUCUGAGAGGACGACCAGUCACACUGGAACUGAGACACGGUCCAGACACCUACGGGUGGCAGCAGUCGAGAAUUUUUCUCAAUGGGCGAAAGCCUGAAGGAGCGACGCCGCGUGGGGGAUGAAGGGCUUCGGCUCGUAAACCCCUGUCAUUUGCGAACAAACCUUUUCACCUAACACGUGAAGAGCUGAUUGUAGCGAAAGAGGAAGGGACGGCUAACUCUGUGCCAGCCGCCGCGG
rnacentral:rRNA from 1 species